CUCACUCUGGGAGUCACGGUUGGAGUGGAUGGCUACAGAGAAGCAACUGAGCGAUUAAUUGACAAUGCACCCACCGAGUUGGAAAGCACCCGUUUGCGCGAAGUUGCGCAUUUCGGGUACCCAUAGCGGUGAGAUAUCGGUAGCAGACAGCCCUUUUUCUGAGGAACUCUGUUUGGAAAGAAAGCUCCGCUGCCAUCCCUGACUCCAAGGGCAAGCCUAUGCUUUUAUCUUCACUUCUAUGUUGAGCGCUGUUUGUUUCGUUUUUAUGUCGGUGUUUAAUUUGGGAACCUCCGGUCUGUGCUAGUGCUGGGUGUGUGGCUGUAUCUGUUUGAAUACUUGUGAAAUCAGAAACAAUGGCACACUUGAAACAAUGCAACGAAUUGGACUGAAACCGUUAUUAAUCGGUUCUGCUUCUCCAUGUGUAACUUUCUAUGCUGUUUUUUAAAACAACUGAAUUAAAGUACCGUUCCGUCCCAGCCCAGAAUAGACCAUAGCAUUACACGCUACAGGAAUAUAGCCUACUGCAAACACUUCAUAGAUAUAAAAAAAACAAUUUGCAGGCACUUUGUAAAACACGUAUCUGUUGAGUUUACACACCCCUUAUAAAUCCUGUUCAUUUAGCGAUGCGUGGGCUGCUUACAUCUGUUCUUUCGUUUAUUUUCUAUUUUGUGUCGGUGUAACAACCGUCACUUAAACUGUUGCAAAAUACUGAAGGCGCUGCGAUUGACCGAAAUAAACUCCAGGGGCGGCUGCACGAAACACCUGGAGUAUUACAAUGUAAGCAUAACACAUAAGGACACAUUUCCCAUUAACUGGGGUUUGACUUCAUUGUGUUGAGCUCCUGAGUGAGGGAGUUGCGGACGAAACAGACAGACGUAACACCAGAAGUGUGAGAGAAGGAAAAAUAACAGAGAAGCAUCAUGCUAGCAAACCUGAUUAUUGUCACUGGGUUCACAGAACUUCUUCAAUCAAUACUUUGCACGCACAACAGCAACCAAUCCCGUACCUGCAACUGCCGAGUCAGCCAAUCACAGCCUGUCAGCUCGACUGGAGCGCAGACAGCAUGUUUCAACAACAACAAACCGAGACACACACAGUGAAGUAAUAUUGCUUCAUUCAAAUAUCUGACACUGUUCAGAUAGACUAUAAACAGCUCUGAUAAGUAAAAAAAAAAAGUGAUUUGUUUAAUAAAGUUAUUUAUUUCUCAAUUAUGUGUGUGAACCUUUAUGAACAUUUUUGGGAUUAUUUUCCUAAAACCUUUCAUUACAAGUUCAAGAUACAUGUAGGGUUUAAAGUGUUUAUUUAAAGAAAAUAAUGAGAAAAAUAUUAUUCUCCAGUCGGGGUCAGCUAGCAGACAGUAGAGCCUUCAUGAUCCGGCACUAUCGCUUCAUUAUAUACAUGGCUGCAAUCUGUUCUUUCUGGAAGGA